UCCUUUCUCUUUUCCCUUUAAUUGCUUUUGACUAACAUUUUUACUUACUUUUUUCAGAAAAAUGCCCCAACGUCCAAAGUGUUGGCGGAGAAGGCGGCCGUCAAGAAAAGACCGGCCACUACCAGCGAUGCCCCACCCCUAAAAAGGCAAGGGGUAUCACAUCAAGGGUUUGAGGGGAGCCUCAUCAGGGCAUGUUGGCUACAUGUCUUAACUGGCUGCUGAGCUCUUUGCUCGCAACUUUAUUGCCGAAGACCGGAGGAAAGAGAACAAAAAACUUGUUACGGACGCUACCAAAGCUGCCGACCAUGAUCAAAUAUUUAUGCCCAAAGUAAGGGACGGCUGUUGUGAUAGCAGGGACCAUCGAAAUGAGUACUUUUUCUACAAUCUGCACUACAGCAUGCGUGUUUGGCUGUUUGAUGCAUCCCGCCCUUCUGGACCUGACUACUGACUAAUGAGGUCGUGAGGACAACUGCUAUAGUGGCAUAUGGUCCUAUUAGGCACAUUGGUACUGAAAAAUGCAUCUCUUUAUCAUUCAUAACUUAUUUGUCGCUUUAGAGCAUCAACAAUGGUGAGGUUGAUUCGCCUAUUUCUCUCUUCUACUUUAACAAUACUUCACCAGUUACUCUCUUUCCUACCUAAAUUGUUUUCAUAUUCUAUACUCUCCCCACUUGUGCCACUCUCUCAAUAGCUGAAAUUCACGGACCAACCAAAGGGUUGAGGCAGUUGUCAGCACCCACCCACUAUUCCCCAAACACCCCCUUAACGGUGAUGGUAGGCUCAAAUAUGGUCUUUGCCCUCUUACCUUAAUUAAGGACCAACCACUAUGGCUCUGUGGGUACUUUUAGUUAUGAACCUAGGUGCAACCACCUUGACCGAUUCAACCUACUUUUGUUGCAUGUGCUAGUUGACUGAUUCAAUCAGCUAGGAUGUCGCCUAUUCUUUAGGGGCUUGAAUCUGCCUCCUCAAGACAAGGGAUUCCCCUUUUUUGUUGUUUGACUUGUUAUUUGUAACAAGCCUUGAGGAUGUUACCUACUUCCAAGGGGUUGACUACUUGACCAAAUAUUGUUAGAUAACCAACUUGAAUACUACAUCCCUAAUCAUGCUUAGGGAAAAUUUCACCACCAACAACUAUAUUGUCUUUGGUAUUGGAAAAAAUAAUCCGUCUAUGAAAAUGACCAAAAGUAAAGGAUGAUCUAAAACAUCUUUAUUGAACUUCAAUUAACUUGAUGAUUUCCGCCUCAAAAAAAAAAAUUAACUUGAUGAUUUCAAACAUUGUAGAAGUACUGAUUUAAAAGCAUUAAAAUUUUACAUAGAAAUUGUCAUGUAUCAUAUGACCACGUUUGAGCGACUCUAUUGUCUACGUAGCAUGUACUUGAACCAAUUAGCAGACAUCUUAGGGUACCUCUUAAGGUCUUUGUAAUCAACAUAAACUAUACCAAAUCGUGAAGUAUAUCCCAAUCUCCAUUCGAAAUUGUCGACUAACGACCAUGCAAAGUAACCAAUAACAUUUGCUCCCUCAUCAAUGGUCUUUUUCAGUGCAACCAAGUAGCUUCUGUAGUAAUGUAUUCUUUUUAUAUCAUGCAAUCCUUCUGCAAGGGUCACAUUACCUGGGUCAUCCAUACCUGCAAUUUUUAUUCAUGAAUGUAAUAAAAAAAGUCAGUCUUUUAUUGAGUAAUUGCUUAAUUUAUGAGUAAUUUUGGUGGGAAUGAGAAGGAUUUCCUUAAAAAAGAAGUUUAGAUGAUGGUACCAUUUUCAGACAGAAUCAUAGUGGGAUUGCCAUAGCGCUCCUUUAUGUAGUUUAUUGCCUUGUAUAGGCCCCAUGGUACCUCAUAAAGCCAGUAAGAGUUUGCCUAAAAUGACGAAAGAAUAGUAAUUAACAUCCAAGAAGCUUCAUCAACAGUUUGUUAAGUAUAACUUAUAAAUCCCCUCGAAAAAAAAAGUAACUUGCAAAAACUACACAUAAAAGAUUGCUGAAAGAUUACCCUUGGACCAA